rnacentral:rRNA from 1 species
UACGGAAGGGGCUAGAGUUGUUCGGAAUUACUGGGCGUGAAGAGCGCGUAGGCGGCUUACCAAGUUGGGGGUGAAAUCCCGGAGCUCAACUCCGGAACUGCCUUCAAAACUGGUAGGCUCGAGUCCGGAAGAGGGGCGUGGAAUUCCCAGUGUAGAGGUGAAAUUCGUAGUUAUUGGGAAGAACACCGGUGGCGAAGGCGGCGCCCUGGUCCGGUACUGACGCUGAGGCGCGAAAGCGUGGGGAGCAAACAGG